rnacentral:tRNA from 1 species
UCCCUGGUGGCUCAGAUAGUAAAGUGUCUGCCUAUAAUGCAGGAGACCCGGGUUCGAUCCCUGGAUCGGGAA